AUUGAACGCUGGCGGCAUGCCUUACACAUGCAAGUCGAACGGCAGCACAGUAAGUUCUUGCUGUUGCGGAGGGCCGGAGGCGGAAGGAAUACAUCUGCACCUGUCUCUACGUUUGGGUUGGGGCUACCAAAGCCGGAUUAACACUGCUUACGCAUACCACCUGCAAGUGGGGGCCCUUCAUCUCUCGCCCUUUCGGGAUGGCCGAUGCCGGAUUAGCUAGUUGGUGGGGUAAAGGCCUACCAAGGCGACGAUCAGUAGCUGGUCUGAGAGGACGAGCAGCCACACUGGAACUGAGACACGGCCCAGACUCCUACGGGAGGCAGCAGUGGGGAAUAUUGGACAAUGGGCGAAAGCCUGAUCCAGCAAUGCCGCGUGUGUGAAGAAGGCCUUCGGGUUGUAAAGCACUUUUGUCCGGAAAGAAAAGCUUGAGGCUAAUACGGCGCGGUGAUGACGGUACCGAAAGAAUAAGCACCGGCUAACUACGUG
rnacentral:rRNA from 1 species